AUUGAACGCUGGCGGCAUGCCUUACACAUGCAAGUCGAACGGCAGCGGGGACUUCGGUCCGCCGGCGAGUGGCGAACGGGUGAGUAAUGUAUCGGAACGUACCUUUCAGUGGGGGAUAACGUAGCGAAAGUUACGCUAAUACCGCAUAUUCUCUGAGGAGGAAAGCAGGGGACCUUCGGGCCUUGUGCUGAUGGAGCGGCCGAUAUCGGAUUAGCUAGUUGGUGAGGUAAAGGCUCACCAAGGCGACGAUCUGUAGCGGGUCUGAGAGGAUGAUCCGCCACACUGGGACUGAGACACGGCCCAGACUCCUACGGGAGGCAGCAGUGGGGAAUUUUGGACAAUGGGCGCAAGCCUGAUCCAGCCAUGCCGCGUGAGUGAAGAAGGCCUUCGGGUUGUAAAGCUCUUUCGGACGGGAAGAAAUUGGUGGGGCUAAUAUCCCCAUCGGAUGACGGUACCGUAAUAAGAAGCACCGGCUAACUACGUGCCAGCAGCCGCAGUAAUAC
rnacentral:rRNA from 1 species